GUCAAGGUUGGGGGGGAGCUUCCAACAUAGGGGGUGGCAUGGCAGGAGGCUCAGGGAGGGGCCAACCAGGCCUUAUCAACAGGAACCUCCCCCUCCCCAGGAGACUCCCACUCCCCCCACACACACCCUAGACUGGAAACAGCACUGCACCGGGAAGUCAGGAGGCCCCAGUGUGGUCCAGAUCUGUCCCUCGCUUACUGGGUGGCCGCUCCUGGCACUCAGAGCAGAAAGGAUGCAGGACUGUGGCUCAGUGUACAGCCAAGCCCCACACCUGCAGGCUCUCACCGAAUUCUCCCAACUGGAUCCGUCCCCGCUCCGCACCCCCGGCCACUGAUGCAGAAACUAAGCUUUAGAGGUUAAGCGACCAACCCAAAGUCACAAAACUGAUGAUGGAGCUGAGAUUCAAAUCAAGCAGUCUCGCUCCAGAGCCCAAGCUCCUAACCACCCUCUCCAGUCGCUUCCUGCUUCUCCGUUUCCCAUUCUGGAAAAUCAACAGGCUUGGUACACUUGACCUCCAAGGACCAGAACAUCCCAGCUCUGACAGUCUGUGCUUUGCUCAGCUCUCACUGUAUUACCAGAUUACCAGGCCCUGGACUGGGGAAUUCAAAGGUGAAAGCUAUGAACUCCCGUUCGUGCUGGGGGCAGGGAGCAGACGGGCUGAGCCCGGUCCCCAGCAGCAAGGAAGGAAGAGUGAGAAGGCUGCGCUUCCAGCUCCCUGGGCAGCCUCCCAGCAGGCUGAUUCCCAUGCAGCCCCUGCUCCUCCGUGCAGAUGCCCCUCUGUCUAGACAGCGCUCCUCGGAAGAAGCUUGCAAACCACGCACUGUCUGAUGACAAAGCUCACCCAGACGCCAGUGCCCGACGCAGGCCUCAUGCAACCCUUCCAGAAGAGGAGAAGCCUGGCUCCCAUCUCUGAAGCAGAGGGGACUCUGAGAACAGGAAUGACUGGGCUCUCUGCUAUGGCCCAGGAUAGCAGUGGAAGAUGGCCCAAGUCCUCGGGCCCCUGCACCCGCGUGGGAGACCCGGAGGAAGCUCCUGGCUCCUGGCUUCAGAUCGGCGCAGUUACGGCUAUUGUGGCUAGUUGGGGAGUGAACCAGCAGAUGGAAGACCCCUCUCUCUCUCUCUCUCUCUCUCUCUCUCUGCCUCUACUCUCUCUGUGUAACUCCGACUUUCAAGUAAAAUAAAUAAAUCUAUAUAUAUAUAAAAAGGAAUGAC
rnacentral:lncRNA from 1 species